rnacentral:rRNA from 1 species
AUUGAACGCUGGCGGCAGGCCUAACACAUGCAAGUCGAGCGGAUGAAGGGAGCUUGCUCCUGGAUUCAGCGGCGGACGGGUGAGUAAUGCCUAGGAAUCUGCCUGGUAGUGGGGGAUAACGUCCGGAAACGGGCGCUAAUACCGCAUACGUCCUGAGGGAGAAAGUGGGGGAUCUUCGGACCUCACGCUAUCAGAUGAGCCUAGGUCGGAUUAGCUAGUUGGUGGGGUAAAGGCCUACCAAGGCGACGAUCCGUAACUGGUCUGAGAGGAUGAUCAGUCAAACUGGAAAUGAGACAAGGUCCAGAAUCCUAAGGGAGGCAGCAGUGGGGAAUAUUGGACAAUGGGCGAAAGCCUGAUCCAGCCAUGCCGCGUGUGUGAAGAAGGUCUUCGGAUUGUAAAGCACUUUAAGUUGGGAGGAAGGGCAGUAAGUUAAUACCUUGCUGUUUUGACGUUACCAACAGAAUAAGCACCGGCUAACUUCGUG